rnacentral:rRNA from 1 species
CAUGGCUCAGGAUGAACGCUGGCGGCGUGCCUAAUACAUGCAAGUCGAACGCACAGCGAAAGGUGCUUGCACCUUUCAAGUGAGUGGCGAACGGGUGAGUAACACGUGGAUAACCUACCUCAAGGUUGGGGAUAACAUUUGGAAACAGAUGCUAAUACCGAAUAAAACUUAGUAUCGCAUGAUACCAGGUUAAAAGGCGCUACGGCGUCACCUAGAGAUGGAUCCGCGGUGCAUUAGUUAGUUGGUGGGGUAAAGGCUUACCAAGACAAUGAUGCAUAGCCGAGUUGAGAGACUGAUCGGCCACAUUGGGACUGAGACACGGCCCAAACUCCUACGGGAGGCUGCAGUAGGGAAUCUUCCACAAUGGGCGAAAGCCUGAUGGAGCAACGCCGCGUGUGUGAUGAAGGCUUUCGGGUCGUAAAGCACUGUUGUAUGGGAAGAACAGCUAGAGUAGGGAAUGACUUUAGUUUGACGGUACCAUACCAGAAAGGGACGGCUAAAUACGUG